AUGGCGACGGAGACGGGCCUCUGCGACCUCCCGGCGGACUGCCUGGCCCUCGUCGCCUCCCUGACCUCCCCCGGCGACGCGUGCAGGCUGGCGGCCACCGCCACCGCGCUCCGGGCGGCCGCCGGCUCCGACGAGGUCUGGGGGAGCUUCCUCCCGGCGGACUGGGCCGACAUCCUCGCGCGGUGUGGCACCGCCGGCCGCCGCGAGGGUGAAACGAAGAAGGAGCUCUUCUCCCGCCUCUGCGACUCCCCCGUCCUUCUCGACGGCGGCAAGCUGAGCUUCUCGCUGGACAGGCGUAGCGGCGGCAAGAAGUACAUGAUACCGGCGAAAGCUCUGUGUUAUGGAUGGAGUGGGUACCCCUACGGAGGCCUCGCCUGGUCGCACUGCCACCCUCACUCCAGAUUCCGUGAGGUGGCUGUUCUAUCGCACUUGUGCUGGCUGGACGUGUAUGGCAUUUUGAACACCAAAAACCUCCCGGGCGUCGGUAGAGGCUAUGCCGCCUAUCUCGUAUACAGGGUGCACUGGUUGCCAGCUCCAAACACCGGUCAGAAGCAAAGCCAAGAAGCUACAGCGUCCUCUGCCGCUGCCAUCUGCAACCAUGAGUGCAACCAUCUGGUGCCUCAUAACUACUCGCGAUCUCCGUUAUGGGACUGGGACUGGGAACUUGAUGGAUCGUCAUCGUUGUCCGCAUUAGUAGCCAUGACCGAGAAGAAUCAAAGUCGGAAGCGACGGCUGAAACCUGAUGGCGUGAGCGUGAGGAGUGACGGACGGUGGGUAGAGCAAGAGAUCAGAAUACAGUUGGACGAGCAGUGUCUGGAAGGAAACGAGAGUAAUGUGUCCAUUGAGUUCAGAGGGUUGACAGGGUCGCAUGGGUGCCAGAUUAUCAUAGAGGGGAUCGAGGUUAGGCCGACAGCAAUGGAGAGUUGA
rnacentral:rRNA from 1 species